rnacentral:lncRNA from 1 species
UGCAUUUAUUAUGUAGACGAACUGAAUCAUCGCAAUCUGAUUUUUACACGGAUGAAUAGAACAAACUCGUUGUCGCACUGACGACUCUCUGCCUCCCCCUUCGGGCCUUCGAGGAUAUCUACAUCGAGAAGAGGAAGGUGGUGAAGGUGGUGCUGGAGACGCAGACAAGAUCUUCACCUACAUCUUCAUCCUGGAGAAGUUGCUCAAGUUGCUCAAGUGGCUUGCCUACGGCUACAAGAAGUAGUUCACCAACUACUGGUGCUGGCUCGACUUCCUCAUCACCGAUUUUUCAGUGUUGGGUCAGCUGGCUCAGUUCAUCUCCCUGAACCAGAUCGCCGCCCUUGCGGGUCUCACGGACUUUCAGGACUCUCCGUCUUCUCCGGGCCAUGUCCCGCUAUGCUGGUAUCAGGGUAAGGAUGGGCUGAACUCGACCAGGUGAACGACCCGAGGCCUGAGAACCAAACGCCCGCGUCGGGCUCAGCCUUUAAUUUGAAAUUUGGAGUUAAUACAUUUUUAUAAAUUUUGAAGUCAAUAGUCUUGAUUUUGGAAUCUUGAGUUGAUGGUUGGGACUAAUUUAAAAUUUUGAUUUGACGAUUUUGAUUUGAUCGUUGAUUUUGGAAUUUUGAUUUGAUAAUUGAUUUUUGAACUUUGAUUUUCCAAUUAAUUUUUGAAUUUUGAUUUGAUAAUUUGAUUUGAAUUUUGAUAUUAUAAUUUAAUUUUUGAUUUUGAUUUGAUAAGUUAAGAUCGCUUUUUGUUAAUGUUAAGCUGAUCAUUUAAAAAAAAUUAAAAAAAUUGUUUGCAUAAAAAGUUUUCCAUAUUUUUCUAAAUUCUCAGAGUUAAUUGGUCUACUUCCUCGUUACUGCCUGCCAAGCAUAGGCACAUUGUGUGAUUUGGUAUCAGAGUACGUUUUUUGUAGUUUCAUCCUAACUUACACUAAAUCCCGAACACAGGUGCUGAGUCACCUAGCUUACAUGGUAAUAAAAUAGAUUUGUAGAUUGCUAACAGAAUACUGCUGCGUGUAAAUCCCAGGUUGAAACUGCUCACCUGUGCAGUAGCGUCAGUAGUACGGUAACACAGCAACAGACCCACUGGGCAGGGC